rnacentral:rRNA from 1 species
UACGUAGGGUGCAGGCGUUAAUCGGAAUUACUGGGCGUAAAGCGCGCGCAGGCGGUUUCUUAAGUCUGAUGUGAAAGCCCACGGCUCAACCGUGGAGGGUCAUUGGAAACUGGGGAACUUGAGUGCAGAAGAGAAAAGCGGAAUUCCACGUGUAGCGGUGAAAUGCGUAGAGAUGUGGAGGAACACCAGUGGCGAAGGCGGCUUUUUGGUCUGUAACUGACGCUGAGGCGCGAAAGCGUGGGGAGCAAACAGG